rnacentral:rRNA from 1 species
AUUGAACGCUGGCGGCAGGCCUAACACAUGCAAGUCGAACGAGUGGCGGACGGGUGAGUAAUGUCUGGGGAACUGCCCGAUGGGGGGGGGUAACUACUGGAAACGGUAGCUAAUACCGCAUACCCUCGGAUGUGCCCAGAGGGGAUUAGCUCGUAGGUGGGGUAACGGCUCACCUAGGCGACGAUCCCUAGCUGGUCUCAGAGGAUGACCAGCCACACUGGAACUGAGACACGGUCCAGACUCCUACGGGAGGCAGCAGUGGGGAAUAUUGCACAAUGGGCGCAAGCCUGAUGCAGCCAUGCCGCGUGUAUGAAGAAGGCCUUCGGGUUGUAAAGUACUUUCAGCGAGGAGGCGUUACUCGCAGAAGAAGCACCGGCUAACUCCGUGCCAGCAGCCGCGGUAAUUC